GUGUGUAACAACUCACCUGCCGAAGCAACUAGCCCUGAAAAUGGACGAUGCUGUAGCGUGGAGCCGAUACUCGACCGGAACAAUGUGACUGGAACGGAUGCGAUAUUGUUCCGAGUAGGAGGGCCGCAAUGAUGGCAUUGAAGGUGUUGGGCGCGAGCCCUACUGGAGCCGUCAUUGUUGCAGAUCUUGGUGGUAGUAGCAA
rnacentral:rRNA from 1 species